rnacentral:rRNA from 1 species
UUCCUACGCGACGCAGCAGUGGGGGAUAUUGCACAAUGGGCGCAAGCCUGAUGCAGCGACGCCGCGUGAGCGAAGAAGUAUUUCGGUAUGUAAAACUCUAUCCGCAGGGAAGAAAAUGACGGUACCUGACUAAGAAGCUCCGGCUAAAUACGUGCCAGCAGCCGCGGUAAUACGUAUGGAGCAAGCGUUAUCCGGAAUUACUGGAUGUAAAGGGAGCGUAGGCGGCAAGGCAAGUCUGAUGUGAAAACCCAGUGCCCAACCCUGGGACUGCAUUGG